rnacentral:rRNA from 1 species
UACGUAGGGGGCAAGCGUUGUCCGGAUUUAUUGGGCGUAAAGAGCGUGUAGGCGGCCAGACAGGUCAGCUGUGAAAACUCGAGGCUCAACCUCGAGAUGUCGGCGGAAACCACUUGGCUAGAGUCCGGAAGAGGAGAGUGGAAUUCCUGGUGUAGCGGUGAAAUGCGCAGAUAUCAGGAAGAACACCUAUGGCGAAGGCAGCUCUCUGGGACGGUACUGACGCUGAGACGCGAAAGCGUGGGAGCGA